UCAAGGGGUCUGAAUUAAGGCGGUUG
rnacentral:piRNA from 1 species